GACGAACGCUGGCGGCGUGCUUAACACAUGCAAGUCGAACGGAAAGGCCCUGCUUUUGUGGGGUGCUCGAGUGGCGAACGGGUGAGUAACACGUGAGUAACCUGCCCUUGACUUUGGGAUAACUUCAGGAAACUGGGGCUAAUACCGGAUAGGAUCUCCUGCUGCAUGGUGUGGGUUGGAAAGUGUCGGCGGUUGUGGAUGGACUCGCGGCUUAUCAGCUUGUUAGUGGGGUAGUGGCUUACCAAGGCUUUGACGGGUAGCCGGCCUGAGAGCGUGAACGGCCACCAUGGGACUGAGAGAGGGCGCAGACUCGUACGUGAGGCAGCAGUGGGGAACAUGGCGCAAUGGGGGGAAGCCUGAGGCAGAAACGCCGCGUGCGGGAUGCCGGCCUUCGGGUGGUAAACCGAUGUCGCCUGUGACGAAGCGUGAGUGACGGUAAUGGGUAAAGAAGCACCGGCUAACUACGUG
rnacentral:rRNA from 1 species